rnacentral:rRNA from 1 species
AUACGUAGGGGGCGAGCGUUGUCCGGAAUGACUGGGCGUAAAGGGCGUGUAGGCGGCCGAUUAAGUCUGGAGUGAAAGUCCUGCUUUCAAGGUGGGAAUUGCUUUGGAGACUGGUUGGCUUGAGUGCGGAAGAGGUAAGUGGAAUUCCCAGUGUAGCGGUGAAAUGCGUAGAGAUUGGGAGGAACACCAGUGGCGAAGGCGACUUACUGGGCCGUAACUGACGCUGAGGCGCGAAAGCGUGGGGAGCGAACAGGAUUAGAUACCCUGGUAGUCCACGCGGUAAACGACGAAUGCUAGGUGUAGGGGGUAUCGACCCCUCCUGUGCCGGAGUGAACACAAUAAGCAUUCCGCCUGGGGAGUACGGCCGCAAGGUUGAAACUCAAAGGAAUUGGCGGGG